rnacentral:tRNA from 1 species
GCUAUUUUAGUUUAAUUUUAAAAUGUCUGAUUUGUAAUCAGGGGAUUUUGUAGUA